rnacentral:rRNA from 1 species
AUGAUUACUGUGCUAUGCAACUUCCAUUUGCGAGGGGGGGGGGCUGUGUUUACACAUCAUACCAUGGGUUUCAUGAAUCACCAUAUCCAGAGAUUCGUCGACACAUCUUGUUGCCAGUCGAAGAAGGAUUGGCCGGUGCUGCCGGCUGGCGUCAAGUUCGAUCCCACGGAUCAGGAGCUGAUCGAGCACCUUGAGGCCAAAGUGAGUGUUGACAGCACGAGAUUUCAGUCUCUCAUCGAUUUGUUCAUACCAACCAUCAACAGCGAGCACGGCAUAUGCUACACCCAACCUGAGAAACUUCCAGGUAUCACACUGAGUGGCCUAAGGAAGCAUUUCUUCCAGCGCAAUUCCAGGAUGUUCAAAAGGGGCACGUGGACGCAUCACAAGAUACAGUCGGAGUGCGGCACGCACGCGAUGUGGCACAAGACCGACAAUACCUUGCCUGUGAUGGUCAACGGCCGGCAGACGGGCAGCAAAAAAGGUUCUGGUGCUGCACACGAACAAGAACUUUGA